UAAAAAGACAGAAGCAAACCAGUUUGGAUUUCUUCAGAUCACCUGGCAACUCUAAUAUGAUCUAUGAGAAUGUAAAAUUUCCCCUAAAUGAAGCAUAUGUUGCUGGAGUUAGGAGCUUAGGGAUAGGUAGAAAUAUAAUUCUGUUCACAUUUUCCGGUAAACCUAGCUAAAGUGCAUUCCCAAUGCAAUAGACAGACUGAAAUAUACUUAUACACUUAUAUUUACAUUUUUAAAAAUUUGUCAAUCAAAAUGGUUGUCUAGGCAAAACACCCAUUAAACUGCACGUGUUAGUGAAAGCAGCAUUUAAAAACUUUCAGUUAAGAGGGAAAUGCUUGCCAAAAUGUAUAUAUUAUGUUUCCAUACAUACAAAACAUGGCUAUUUUGGGAAGAAUGUACACAGAAAUGAAUAUGAAUUCCCAUGCUCAAUUGAAAAAUGCAAAAUGAUGUAGAAAAACAAUGAACUGAAAAAAAGAGAAACAGCAAACCAGAAAUGGACAUGUUUGUCUGUCCCCAAAGGAAAUGCCUUAUACUUUUUGUGACUAGAUGUCAGUCCUACAAAUACAUGAUUGAGUAGGCACAUAUUUGCGUGUCCAGACAGAAUAUUUAAAAAUGAUUCUGUGGGUGAAAGCGCUCUUCCAACCGCUUUCACUGUUGUUGUGAAGGCCUUUGCCUUUCUCUGAAGCUGAGAGAGUGUGACUUGCCGAAGGUCACCCAGUAGGAUUGCAUGCCUGAGGAGGGAUUUGAACCGUGCUCUCCAGCAUCAUAAUUCAAUGCUCCAACUGCUACACCAGGAUGAGUAUUUCAUUAAGAAACACAGUAUUUUUAUGCGUAUGAUAUCUGAGACUUCUUGCUAACACAGCUGCCCUCAAAAGUACGUCUCUCAGCUACUAUGGCACUGCCUUUGUGUGCUCCAGUGCCAACAGCAAAGGUCAUACCACACACCUGCUUUUCUGAUUGUCCUGCCUGUAGUAGUGAAUGAUUGGGGCGAGGAUGGCCAAGGCCUAAUUAACUAGCAAUAAUAGGAAUACGGAUGGCAGGGGAUAAAGAACCCAUUUAACCAGCUUCUUUGUUGCAAACCAAAAUGUUUUCUUGUGCUGGGAAAGUAAUGAGCAAAAUCCCGUUUGCCUUUAGUUGAGCUUGAAUUGGAACAAAACCCCUAUGGAAUGUGCAGCUCUGUUUUCGCUCUUUUCUCCCCAAUUGUGCCCUUAAUGAUCAGGGCAGCUGCAAUGGGGGCCCAGGCGCUUUUGAAGGCCAGGCUUUUAAACGAUCAACAAAACGAAAAGGGAUUGGGAAGCAGCUCUUCUGAAGUGCUCACCCUUCCUAUAUAAGGGUUUACUUGAAUUUGCUACUCUCUGUCUUUUUAAUAACACCUUAGAGAACUAGCUGUAUGGAUAAAUAAGUGCAGGUGUGCAUAGGUGAAUAUUCUACAAAAGGCAGUAACCCAUCAGAGAAAUAACCUAUGCUACCAACUGAUCAAGGGGGGAAAGCUACGGUACUUCUGCCUUGCCUGCUCUUGUACCGUUAACACGGCUCUGAUGUGCAACUGAAGAGCAGAUUUCUUUUGGAUGUCCUUGCCUGUCCUAGGGGAUGCCCCAGUUCACUUUUGCUUGCUUUUGUGGGCUCCAUGGCUUCUGCAAGAUGAAGAGGAAAAAGGAAGAAGCAGAUGGUCAACAAGAGACAGCCGUCUAAGAAGAGAACACACAUUAUUUUCAACAGUGCUGAAGUGGAAGAAGAUUGUUGCUACAGUAACUUGAUUCAAUUUUCCAAGAAAAUCGCCACUGUUCUAGUUAACGAUAAUAAAAAAAACCCUCAUAUUUAUAUUGCAAGCUGGAAUGGUAAAGGACAUGGACAAAGAAUGAGAAGCAACGCAAGGAAAAUCACACCAGCUCCUUGUGUAAUGUCUUCCUGUGCAAGAUGAAACUGUAAAAAAAAAAAAUAGUAGACCAACUUGUGUGAAGCAACAUAGCUUAAUAUAUUCAUUUGCACUAUUAAUGAAGAAAUUCUAAAACUGUGAAAUAGGGUAUAGUGUAAAUCCAGCAAUUCUGAUGACACUGGUUUCAACAUUUAAAAAUAAUUGUAUGAGUAUUAUAUGGAUUAUACAAUAGCUGCAUUCCAGUAUUAUCCUAUAUAGAAAUAAUUCUUUAAAAAUAUUAUAGUGACAGGUAUACUUUUUGCAAUAAGGAUGAUAUCAUAAAGCACUUUAUUCUACGGGGUCAGUACAUAUGGAUUUUUGAAAAGAAUAAGCUAGACCAUCAUCAAAAUAUUUUUCUGGAUUUCAGAAAAAAAUAUAUGCACACUGAGAGGAAGAAAUAAAAAAGCCCUACUUGCUUAUUUUCCACCUUGGUUGCCUCUAGCCAUUUGACAUAUGCUUUGACUGACAAAGGGCAAUGCUUGGGUGAUUACUAUAAUUAUGAGACUAUCCUAAUUUUAGGUGUUUGACUAAAGACUUCCCCCCAAAUUCAAGCUGCUCAAGUUGCACACUCCAAUAAUAAGCAUCUACUACAGUCAUGCUUUAGUUAUUUUUUUAUCCAUAGAAAAUAUUGCAUGAGUCAAAUGUUGCCGGAAUUGCCACUGUAAAAAAUAGUCAUUUUGCUUCUAGGCAGUUACAAAUCACAAUUCUGUGCUCAUUUAGAUAUGCAGCAUUGUGUGCUGUAUUGAUUUUAUAUCUCUGAUUUAUGAGAACAACAGUUACAUGCUGUUUAUUGAAUGUACCUGCAUUCAUUUUGCACAGUUGCAUCUCUGGGUCACUAAAGGCUACCACGGUGGUGUAUAUAGAAUAUUAGUGAUUCAGCUAGAUUCUGUUUAAUAUCUAUAGACAUGUACACACAUGGGGGUAUAGUCAUUUGUUUGCACUGAGCUAAUUAUGCUGGAGUCUAGCACAUCAGGUUAUAACCUCACACUGUAUGUUUUCAGAAAUACAGUAUAUGCUACCUAGACACGGGUUUCAAUCAAACCAAAAGGCUUUGAGAUACCUGGGCUCUAGCUAGCCACAUGAAAGCUGAAACCUUGCUGUAAAGUUAUAACAAAACUCUUCCAUAGCACUGGCAGCUUUGCAAAUAAUUUUAUAUUUUACAUAUUUAGGGUGCUAUUAAAAAGCUAGGUGUUGCCAGUAAGCACAAGCUUUGGUGUAUUUUUUUUCCAGUUAGCUAUUUAUGCCCGACUAUACCCUAUAGCCCCUGGUGUUGCAGUGGGUUAAACCGCUGAGCUGCUGAACUUGCUGACUGAAAAGUUGGCUGUUUGAAUAUAGGGAGCAGGUUGAGCUCUUCCUGUUAGCCCCAGCUUCUGUCAACUUAGUUCAAAAACUUGCAAAUGUGAGUAGAUCAAUAGGUACUGCUCUGGCAGGAAGGUAACGGCGCUCCAUGCAAUACCUUGGAAGUGUCUAUGGACAACGCCGGCUCUUCCGCUUAGAAAUGGAGAUGAGCACCAACCCCCAGAUUCUGACAUGACUAAAUGUUAGGGGAAAACCUUUAUCUUAUACCCAAUGAGGUUUACAGUUUGACUCUACUUCCAGUUAAUCCCCGCCAGCCCAUUUUUAAGUUGUUUUUAAAACAUCCCAGUUUCUCUUCCUUCCUUCCAUCUUUCCUGUUUGUGUUCAGCUUACAUCAAUUGGUGUAAACAGAAAGAGCAAACAUAUUUUCUACACAUUUAACUCAACAAGGGGGGGAGGGAGAACGGUAACAUUUUGCCCUUCCCAGUAAACGUAGGCAAAAGAAAACUCAUGCAGACUCUUCUGCUUUGUAUGUUCAUUUUACUAACUUUUGCCAUCUGUUUGAGUUUUCAUUUAUGACAUUUUGGAGACCAUGUGAUUUUAUGCAUGGCUACAAAGAAGUAACCAUGUUUUGAAUCAACGAACAGGAAAGGGCGGGUGUAGGGCUAAAGCAGGCAUGGGCACACUUCGGCCCUUCAGGUGUUUUGGACAAUUUCUAACAGCCCACAAUUCCUAACAGCCUCCUAACACCUGGAGGGCCAAAGUUUGCCCAUGCCUGCGCUAGAGGCCUUAUAUCAAUUAUAUAUAUUGCUAAAAAGGUGGGGUGGAAUUAAGCCUCUUUCUAAGCACUGUGCUAUCAUCAGAACCUAAGUAUAAUGGUCCAUACUCAUUGCUAUUGUAGCUCCAAUGGUCCUUUAUUAAUAUUCAAAGCUCUUAUAUUAAAAGACAAAAUACAUUGUCAUAAUAUAUGUUUUUAGUGAUUCACACAACUCAGGACCAGAGACAUCUGUAUUCACUUAUUAGAUUGGGGGUGGAGCCAUCCAGCAAGAAUAUCUCAUUCUUGGGGGGGGGGGGGGGCAAUAGAAUCUCUGAAAGUUUUCCAGAUAUAAACCUGCGUUCCAGUUAUCAAAAAUGGUAAGAUAUGUGGCAUUUAGAAGCUGAAAAAACACAAAAGCAUUGUUGUUGAAAAGGAAAGUAAAAAAGAGAGAUAGUUUGGGCAACAGGCGAAAAGUAAAUUGGCACAGACUUUGAUAUUCUGCAAAAUAAAUUGUCUGGAACAAUUGUAUGCCCCUCAAAAACUCAGUAUAAAGGAUAGCCAGUUUCUUCCACUGUGAUAACCAAUGGGGAUCAAGCAUGAUAUUAAAACAUUACCUGUUUGGAUCAGUGGUAGCUGACUGUUCAUUAUUUUCCGCUAUGACAUUUUGACAACUUUUAGAGCCAAUGCAAUCAUAAUUAAUGAGGAAUGAGCAGCCAGGUCAUAUGAGGACACAUCUUGGCAGCUGGGAGCAGAGAAGCUGAUUUUACUUACAUAGCUACUCCCUAUGAUGCAGAAGAUAUGUGCAGAUCUGACUGCUGAGAAAAAUCUUGAACCCAUUUUGGAGAAUGUGAAUCUUCCAUAUAGCAUGUUUUCUUUGCUCAAACUGCAUUUCUGAAAUAUAUCUUAAGCUUCAGGCUUGAGUUAAUGGGAAACCCCCUGGACAUAAUGGCAAAUGAAAAUAGAUGUUAUGCCUAUUUUUAGCUUGUAAUAUUAAUGUUCUUAUCAUGCAGAAAGCACUUGCUUCCCAGUGCCAUACAUGGUUGGUUUAAUCUGGGUCUCCAAUGUCUGUAAAUAAGAAACAGGAGUCAUCCUUUCAUCUAAAAGCUGGCAAACAACAGGGCAAAAUACAUCUGAUGCAGUCUGUGCUUAUUUCUUUAUCCCUUUUUGCUCUCCAGAUUCUAUUAUAUAGAAGCAUAAAUAGAAAUCUUCCCCCGGAGUCUUCCAGCCUCAGUAGCCAUAGAAACCAGCUAUUUCUAUCUAUUUUGCAUGAUAUCAAUAAAUGACUUUCUAUACUGGAUAGACAGGUCAACCCAGCUUCAUGUGAACUGGAUGCUCUUUAUAAGCCAUGCAAAUUGAUUGUAUAAUAUUGUAUAUCAAAGAAAAGAGAAAAGGGAUUAUUUGUACACAUGCAGUUGAAUCUGUGAGAUAGAUUAUUUGAACGCCAUGAAAUACCCUUUAAGAGAGAGAAAUAUUUGUGAGAAUUUUUAGAACAGGCCCUUUUGUAGUACUGAUUAUUUUUUAAAAAAUAUAUCUUCAGAGCCAGGUGAGGAUGGCAAUCUUUCUUUAAUAUAUGAGCUAUCUUGUUUCCUAAGACAACUGAUACCUUAAAAAAAAGGAUACUCCACUGUGUUUUUAAACAAAUUCUUGCUAUUGAAAACACAAGUGUAAAAUUAAAGAAAGCUACCCAAUAAUAAGGUUAUUGUUUUAUGAAAUGCUGCCAGCCUUUGCUAAGGAAGGCUUUUUAUAUAGUAAGAUAAAGAAUCAAAUUUAUAUGGUCAAUAAUCAAGUGCACUUUACAAGGAGAAUAACAAUUGUAAUUUGGGAUCCCCACCCCGCUGGGUUGUUCAAGCCAGUAUUAUUUUUCAGGAAUCAUCAGUUCACUAUCCUGCAUUGUGAGGAUUUUGAUAAAUCUGUCUCCUCUAUCUGGUAGCCAACUCUUCACCAAGUUUUUUUUUUUUUUUUGGGUAGGGCUGAAGAUACUGAAGUAUAUGUAACAGAUACCUUAUAUAUUCAAAUCCUAUAAACAGAUUCUUUUUGGUACCUAAAAUCUUUAGCUGAUUUCACUAUGUACCACCCACUGUGGCUCUAGAACUUUUGUAUCCAACUGUAAACCUAUUUGUGAUAUUUAUAUAUUUAUUGUAUCCAACUGUAACUUCAUUUAUAUGAGCCUCCUGAUUAUCUGAAUGCUUUAAAUAACUCAGUGUCCUUUUCAACAAACUGGUACUGCAUUGAAUAGUAUAUAUAUGAACAGUUAUCACAAAAGCUCCCAAACUUUAUAUGCUCAUAUAAUCAUAGGAGUCUUGUGAUGGAUGCAAAACAUUUGUGGAAAAAAUGGUGCUAAACAAGCUUAAUCUUCUUGAAUUAUAUGUGGUAUUAUUACGGACAUGGAUACAAAGGGAGAUUCAUCUGUGUCAUGCUGGAUAAUAUGAAGAUCACCUUGUGAAACUGAAUCAAUAGAUCUAUACAGCUUGAAAACCUUUGUUGGGGUAAAGUAGAGCUCCAUUGACUUUAUUACUGAUAAGGAAGUCUGCUGGGUAUAUUCCAGUGUUUUUCAAUGCCAGUGGAGCACAGCAUCUUACAAUCAAAUCAGGAAAACUCCUAUGGCAUUGCUGACUUCCUUUCAGCAUUUAACAGAUAUCUUUUGGUUGUAAGUACAUGGACUCCAAAAGACUUUUGCUGUAACAAGGUGGUUUACAAGGUUGUAUUAUAAAUUAUAGAUGCCUAUCAUGUCUAUAUCUUUCACUGAAAUACUUGCCUAUUGAUUGGUCUCCUGGCUGAUUAAUUCCCUGUUCUGCCUGAUGCCAAGUUUGGAACCAGCUAAAUUGCUUGACUUCGGUUUCUUAUGUUUGUUUGUUCAGAUCUAUGCACUUGCAGUAAGCACUUUUUUGCUGUAACUGUGAAAGCAUGCUAAGGAGAGCAGAAAUGUUAAUUGCAUUAAUAAACAGAGUUUAUUAUUCCA